GAGUUUACGCUCUAUAACCCUUUGUGAACAUACCUAUAACUGUUGCUUCGGCGGGUAGGGUCUCCGCGACCCUCCCGGCCUCCCGCCUCCGGGCGGGUCGGCGCCCGCCGGAGGAUAACCAAACUCUGAUUUAACGACGUUUCUUCUGAGUGGUACAAGCAAAUAAUCAAAACUUUUAACAACGGAUCUCUUGGUUCUGGCAUCGAUGAAGAACGCAGCGAAAUGCGAUAAGUAAUGUGAAUUGCAGAAUUCAGUGAAUCAUCGAAUCUUUGAACGCACAUUGCGCCCGCCAGCAUUCUGGCGGGCAUGCCUGUUCGAGCGUCAUUUCAACCCUCAAGCUCUGCUUGGUGUUGGGGCCCUACAGCUGAUGUAGGCCCUCAAAGGUAGUGGCGGACCCUCCCGGAGCCUCCUUUGCGUAGUAACUUUACGUCUCGCACUGGGAUCCGGAGGGACUCUUGCCGUAAAACCCCCCAAUUUUCCAAAGGUUGACCUCGGAUCAGGUAGGAAUACCCGCUGAACUUAAGCAUAUCAAUAAGCGGAGGAAAAGAAACCAACAGGGAUUGCCUCAGUAACGGCGAGUGAAGCGGCAACAGCUCAAAUUUGAAAUCUGGCCCUAGGCCCGAGUUGUAAUUUGCAGAGGAUGCUUUUGGUGCGGUGCCUUCCAAGUUCCCUAGAACGGGACGCCAGAGAGGGUGAGAGCCCCGUACAGUUGGACACCAAGCCUUUGUAAAGCUCCUUCGACGAGUCGAGUAGUUUGGGAAUGCUGCUCAAAAUGGGAGGUAUAUUUCUUCUAAAGCUAAAUACCGGCCAGAGACCGAUAGCGCACAAGUAGAGUGAUCGAAAGAUGAAAAGCACUUUGAAAAGAGGGUUAAACAGCACGUGAAAUUGUUAAAAGGGAAGCGCUUGUGACCAGACUUGCGUCCGGUGAAUCACCCAGCUCUCGCGGCUGGGGCACUUCGCCGGCUCAGGCCAGCAUCAGCUCGCUGUCGGGGACAAAAGCUUCAGGAACGUAGCUCUCUUCGGGGAGUGUUAUAGCCUGUUGCACAAUACCCUUCGGCGGGCUGA
rnacentral:rRNA from 1 species